rnacentral:rRNA from 1 species
UACGUAGGGAGCAAGCGUUGUCCGGAAUCAUUGGGCGUAAAGCGCGCGUAGGCGGCCCCAUAAGUCCGCUGUGAAAGUCAAAGGCUCAACCUUUGAAAGCCGGUGGAUACUGUGGGGCUAGAGUACGGAAGAGGCGAGUGGAAUUCCUGGUGUAGCGGUGGAAUGCGCAGAUAUCAGGAGGAACACCAGUGGCGAAGGCGGCGAUCUGGGCUGAUACUGACGAUCAGGUGCGAAAGCGUGGGGAGCAAACAGG